GUGAAGAACGUAGUGAAAUGCGAUACGUAAUGUGAAUUGCAGAAUUCAGUGAAUCAUCGAAUCUUUGAACGCAUAUUGCGCUCUUUGGUAUUCCGAAGAGCAUGCUUGUUUGAGUAUCAGUAAACACCUCAAAGCUUUUGGAUUUUUUAAUCGAAAAGCUUUGGACUUGAGCAAUCCCAACACCAAUCUUUUUGAGAUCGGUGGCGGGUUGCUUGAAAUGCAGGUGCAGCUGGACAUUCUCCUGAGCUAAAAGCAUAUUCAUUUAGUCCCGUCAAACGGAUUAUUACUUUUGCUGCAGCUAACAUAAAGGGAGUUUGACCGUAUUGGCUGACUGAUGCAGGAUUUCACAAGGGUCGGCAACGAUUCUUGUUAAACUCGAUCUCAAAUCAAGUAAGACUACCCGCUGAACUUAAGCAUAUCAAUAAGCGGAGGA
rnacentral:misc_RNA from 1 species